UACGUAGGGGACAAGCGUUGUCCGGAUUUACUGGGCGUAAAGAGCGCGCAGGCGGUCGUUCAAGUCGAGUGUGAAAGCCCCCGGCUCAACUGGGGAGGGUCACUCGAUACUGAUCGACUUGAAGGCAGGAGAGGGAAGCGGAAUUCCCGGUGUAGUGGUGAAAUGCGUAGAUAUCGGGAGGAACACCAGUGGCGAAGGCGGCUUCCUGGCCUGCUCUUGACGCUGAGGCGCGAAAGCUAGGGUAGCAAACGGG
rnacentral:rRNA from 1 species